GUGCAGCAGUCGCGAAAACUCCGCAAUACACGAAAGUGUGACGGGGCUAUCCCGAGCGCCGUCCGCUGAGGAUGGCUUUUCCCCAGUGUAGACAGCUGGGGGAAUAAGGAGAGGGCAAGUCUGGUGUCAGCCGCCGCGGUAAUACCAGCUCUUCGAGUGGUAGGGAUGUUUAUUGGGCCUGAAGCAUCCGUAGCCGGCUGAGCAAGUUCUCUGUUAAAUCCAACGAUUCAAUCGUUGGACUGCGGGAGAUACUGUUGAGCUAGGAGGCGGGAGAGGCCGACGGUAUUCCCGGAGUAGGGGUGAAAUCUUAUAAUUCCGGGAGGACCACCAGUGGCGAAGGCUGUCGGCUAGAACGCGCUCGACGGUGAGGGACGAAAGCUGGGGGAGCGAACCGGAUUAGAUACCCGGGUAGUCC
rnacentral:rRNA from 1 species